UAGGGUGACUGCGGAGGACAUUA
rnacentral:rRNA from 1 species